GCUGCGGCAGCGAACGUAUCACCCAAGACAACUUUACGGAGUUGACGAUUGACGGAGCGAAGCGACGUCAAAGCGUUCAUUAAAGUCGAGUUGGCUUAGGGAUACGUUCGUUGGGUAGGGGAGCGUUCUGUAAGCCUGUGAAGGUGUGUCGUGAGGCAUGCUGGAGGUAUCAGAAGUGCGAAUGCUGACAUAAGUAACGAUAAAGCGGGUGAAAAGCCCGCUCGCCGGAAGACCAAGGGUUCCUGUCCAACGUUAAUCGGGGCAGGGUGAGUCGACCCCUAAGGCGAGGCCGAAAGGCGUAGUCGAUGGGAAACGGGUUAAUAUUCCCGUACUUGGUGUUACUGCGAAGGGGGGACGGAGAAGGCUAUGUUGGCCGGGCGACGGUUGUCCCGGUUUAAGCGUGUAGGUGUGUGUUCCAGGUAAAUCCGGUU
rnacentral:rRNA from 1 species